UACGUAGGGGGCGAGCGUUGUCCGGAUUUAUUGGGCGUAAAGAGCGUGUAGGCGGUUCGGUAAGUCUGUCGUGAAAUCCUGAGGCUCAACCUCGGGCGUGCGAUGGAUACUGCCGGGCUAGAGGAUGGUAGAGGCGAGUGGAAUUCCCGGUGUAGCGGUGAAAUGCGCAGAUAUCGGGAGGAACACCGGUGGCGAAGGCGGAUCUCUGGGCCUUGCCUGACGCUGAGGCGCGAAAGCUAGGGGAGCGAACAGG
rnacentral:rRNA from 1 species